GACGAACGCUGGCGGCGUGCCUAAUACAUGCAAGUCGAGCGAAUCAAUGGGAGCUUGCUCCCUGAGAUUAGCGGCGGACGGGUGAGUAACACGUGGGUAACCUGCCUGUAAGACUGGGAUAACUUCGGGAAACCGGAGCUAAUACCGGAUAGUUUCUUUUCUCGCAUGAGAGAAGAUGGAAAGAUGGUUUCGGCUAUCACUUACAGAUGGACCCGCGGCGCAUUAGCUAGUUGGUGAGGUAACGGCUCACCAAGGAGACGAUGCGUAGCCGACCUGAGAGGGUGAUCGGCCACACUGGGACUGAGACACGGCCCAGACUCCUACGGGAGGCAGCAGUAGGGAAUCUUCCGCAAUGGACGAAAGUCUGACGGAGCAACGCCGCGUGAGCGAAGAAGGCCUUCGGGUCGUAAAGCUCUGUUGUUAGGGAAGAACAAGUACGAGAGUAACUGCUCGUACCUUGACGGUACCUAACCAGAAAGCCACGGCUAACUACGUGCCAGCCGCCGCCGUAAGAC
rnacentral:rRNA from 1 species